GACUCGGCAGUAUAGUGGUAACACUCCAGUUCGCAUUAAUUGCUUAAAAUCUAAAUGAGCUGGUGGUCCCUGUUCGACUCGGGGCUGCGUCA